rnacentral:misc_RNA from 1 species
AUUUAAUUUAAUUUUUUUUAAUUAUAACUUAAAAUUACUCACUCCUAAAAGAAAAAAAAUAUUGUACGACCUAUGAGCCUCAAGUCUUUAGUCUAAAAUACUUCUUUCAAUUUUAAAAAUGUCUAUUUUUAAUUUAGUUAAUAAUUUAAUAUAAGUGAACUUAUUUUAAUUUUUUUAAAAAACUUUAAUUUUAUUAUUAUUUUAAUAAAAAUUAUUAUUUCAUUCUUAUCAAUUAUUUUGGUCUCUAA